rnacentral:rRNA from 1 species
GAUGAACGCUGGCGGCGUGCCUAAUACAUGCAAGUCGAGCGAACAGACGAGGAGCUUGCUCCUCUGACGUUAGCGGCGGACGGGUGAGUAACACGUGGAUAACCUACCUAUAAGACUGGGAUAACUUCGGGAAACCGGAGCUAAUACCGGAUAAUAUAUUGAACCGCAUGGUUCAAUAGUGAAAGACGGUUUUGCUGUCACUUAUAGAUGGAUCCGCGCCGCAUUAGCUAGUUGGUAAGGUAACAGCUUACCAAGGCAACGAUGCGUAGCCGACCUGAGAGGGUGAUCGGCCACACUGGAACUGAGACACGGUCCAGACUCCUACGGGAGGCAGCAGUAGGGAAUCUUCCGCAAUGGGCGAAAGCCUGACGGGGCAACGCCGCGUGAGUGAUGAAGGUCUUCGGAUCGUAAAACUCUGUUAUUAGGGAAGAACAAAUGUGCAAGUAACUAUGCACGUCUUGACGGUACCUAAUCAGAAAGCCACGGCUAACUACGUG